rnacentral:lncRNA from 1 species
AAUUAACAAAACCAUUUUUCAUAUUAUUGAUCAAUUAGAAAUUCUCCAAAAACCCUAACCAAGAAUAAAUCCAUGAAAAACUCACUAAUCUCAUGGAAUCAAACAAGCUAAGCCUAAACAACCCUAGUUAACAUCUCAUGAACAACUUCCAUGGAUCACAAAACAUUUUUAACCAAGUUCUAAAAUUUUUCUCUCAUGAACAUAAAACCUAAAAUCCAAACAACACCAAAAUCAUGGCCAACUAAGAGAAAGGAAGAAGCUAGUUACCUCAAGAAAGAAACCCUUGCAAUUUCUAUGGAUCCAAUGAGCUCAAAAUUAAUGAAAAUGGUGAAGAAUUGAAAAUUUUGUGAAGCUAAGGCUAGGGGAAAGAGGAAGCACGGUUUUGAGAGAGAAGGAAGAGCAAAAAUGUGAUUUUUCUAUGUCCAUCAAGUGGCCUUGGCUUCUCAAGCAAGCCUCUCAUGAUUAAUCUCACACAUUUGAUCAAGUAGUGCAUGCCAUGAUCAAAUCCUAGCCCUUGAAUCAAAUAGUGCCACUAAAGCAAGAUUAAACCCUAACCAUUGGAUCGAUCCAAGUCUAUCCUCUUAAGAUAUUUUCUUUCUCUCAUGAGAACUCACGCCUCACAGACGAGUCGCAUUACGCUUACGGACCAAACUCGCGAAACUAGAAAAUUUAGAAACUAAACGUUCGCCUUAAAUGAUUUCCAAAAAUUAUCGCGAAACAUUUUUCCCCGACUGUAUUUUUCAUUCCUAACUCUUAAAAAUAUUCUAAAGUCAUAUCCCAACUCAAGCCGAUAUAUAAAGUUCCCAUCUAAAAUAUAAACGGAUUNGGUAAACUAUUGCCCGUUUUUUCAAAAACUAGAAUAAUGCGAAAAAUAAAAUUCCAAGGAUACAAGAACAUCCUCCUUCCUAUAAGAAGACUAGGAAAAUAAACCCCGUGCCAUUCCGACACUCGAGCACAAAACAGGCACGAUCUCAGCAAACUAUGUUUUUAUAACGACGAUACUCGAACUAAUAACCUUCGAACCCUAAUUAACCUAUCCACAACCCAUGGUCUUUCAAUCAAAGAACCUAAAAAUCAUUCCUUAGCUCAACAAACAAACUUCGGAAUCGAAAUCUACGUGAAAAACUAAGCAAAAUAGGUUCCGGGUGCAAAAAUCCCUAAAAAGUCAACAAAAGUCAACCCUCACAAACCAAGCCUGCGCGCGUUGCGCAAGGACCAGAACCUACAGGAUUAUGGGUCUUACAA